rnacentral:lncRNA from 1 species
AAGUCCCUCUGGUAUCCCUUGUCCCUCUUUGGCAACAAUUGUAAAAUAACUUUUACAAGAAAUCACAACAGAAGUGUAACUCAAAAAAACAACUAAGUGCAUUCACGUUGCGGUAUCAUGGUCAUCUACGUUCAUAUAAUUUGAAGAAAUCAUAAUUAAUAUCAAGUUGUUUUGUGGAAGAGUCGUCAUAAAGAAGAAGCAUAUUCAUGGUUUCAGAAGAUUAAACUAGUUUUAAAAUUUUAAGUAUUUUCAUGAAGAAAUUGUGACACCUUAUUGCAGGUAUUUCGAACAGGGGAUACUACUGUUGCCUUAAUAUAGCUUACUGAAAUAUUAAAUACAAUCCCACAAAUUUUUCUGAAUAUGCAUGUUAUGUUUGUAACUGGAUUGAUACAGCCGCCAAUUGAUCAAUCAUUCAUCACAAACAAACUCCUAUCAUUCAGAUCGAAUUUUAUCCUAAUUCUGUCUUAGGUUUUCAAGGCUUGGUGUGGUGGAAUCACAAACAAAAAUCCAUUCACUUUAUAGGCGGCUUCAGAUUGAAUUCAAACUAUGUUUUAUGUUACCAAGAAUUGAUGUCGUGGCCUAUCAUAGCUUGCUUUGUUUUAUGGAUUUUGCUGAUUGUUAAAAGUCGUACGGUAACAUAAUAGUUGAUAACUUCAAUGUUAAAAGGUCUGUAGUGGAUGCUUGCCUAAAUUGCCAUCACCCCACGUCUUCUUAUUUUUAUACACUGUACUUUACUCAUUGCAGCGUCAUUUAAUUAUGCGUUUCAAUAUACAAAUAUUUUCAGAAAUUUACAAC